rnacentral:tRNA from 1 species
UCCCAGGUAGCUCAGUGGUAAAGAAUCUGCCUGCAAUGCAGAAGACAUGGGUUCAAUCCCUGGGUCGGGAA